rnacentral:rRNA from 1 species
UACGUAGGGUGCGAGCGUUAAUCGGAAUUACUGGGCGUAAAGCGUGCGCAGGCGGUUUUGUAAGCCGGAUGUGAAAUCCCCGGGCUUAACCUGGGAAUGGCAUUCGGGACUGCAAGGCUGGAGUGCGGCAGAGGAGACUGGAAUUCCUGGUGUAGCAGUGAAAUGCGUAGAUAUCAGGAGGAACACCGAUGGCGAAGGCAGGUCUCUGGGCCGAUACUGACGCUGAGGAGCGAAAGCGUGGGGAGCGAACAGG